UCGGAUCAGGAAGAAGGUAUGGAUACUUGGGAUCUGUGGGGCGGCACGGGUUGGCCCUUCUCACCUAAGGGGAAGUGGAACGUCACCGUUCAGGACGCACGGGAUCAUUCAGCACCACCUGAGGUAAAAAAAACACACAACAUUAGAGCAAUAGAACAGGCUGCAGUGUUAAGAUGCUUAAUCUUGGGUCUCAAAACUUGAAUAUAAGUUCUUUGGGCACUCUUUUCUUGUCAGUCAGUUGUUAAGGGUGAGAUCUAAUCAAUAAUGAGUAUUAUUUGGUAUCAGAGCAAGCUACUAAAUUGAGUAUUGGAUCGAACACAUUUAUGCGAGUAUGGGAUGUAUGUUACGAUUUCCGUUCCACAUCGGUCAAAAAUGAAUCUGAACACUUAAAUAUAAGCUUAUUGAGCAUCUCUCCUUGUAAGUUAUUUUUUUAGCGUGAGUUUGUUUACCCAAGAGUUCAUAUCACACACCUAAUCUCCCGUUUUAAUUCUUUAGUUGGCCUUGCACCGACUUUAAUCGAAUUCUCGUCUUCUAGAUGAUAGAAUUGGUCCACGAAUCUUGUCACACGAGUUCAUAUCACACACCUAAUCCCCCGCUUUAAUGCUUGUGUUGGCCUUCCUUCGACUUUAAACGACUUCUCAUCUAGUAGAUGGUAGAAUUGGUCCACGAAUGUUGUCACACCAUUGUAUUCUGAUUUCUUAUCCUAAAACGAUUAGUUUUUUCCAAAAUAGUAUUAUAUUAAGGUCUGUUUGGAAUAAUAAAUGAUAAAAGAAAAAAAAUAAUUUUAGUUUUUCACCAUUAUAUUUGUAUGUGUACAAAAGCAAAUCAUGUGAGAUAGGGUCAAGGAAGGAAUUUGUUUUUCUUCCUUUGUAUUUUGAUGGGCAUUGACAUUAUUGAUAAUACAGAAUCAAUGAUUUUUAUCACCAAAUCUCACUAUUUAUGGUGAAAAACAAAAAAGGCUUGGUGAGUGACUUCUUACCCUCUCUCACAAUUUCGUAUUUAUUUUAUUAUCCAAACAUAAGACAUAAUAUAAUUUAUCUUUAUUUCUUAUGUUUUCUCACAAAAUCCCUCACACUAAAUGGAUUGUAAACAAUAAAACACAAUUGCUUUAAUAUGACAAAAUGAAAUCGUAGCAAGCCAAAUUUUAUCAAUAACAUUGCUAACAUGGCACUUUCUUCGGUUUGUGUUGCUCGAUCUUCUACUUUUGCCACACAAAAUUCUUUGAUGUGACAAUAAUAAUGUUAUAAUACAUGCAAGUUUUAAAAUACCAUGAUGCGGAUGAAUGUAGGUCUUUCGCUUGAAAACAAAUCACCCAAGACAAUUAGAGUAUCAUUUUCUUGCUUUCAAAAUCAAAGUAUCAUUUCUUGAUUAACUAAAAAAAUGUGUUUAUUGAUGAAAUCUGCUGGUGAAGUCCUCAAAAAAGCCAUAAACUUUCCUAAUUUUACCUGGUGAUUAUGGCGAUAUCAGGUGUACAAAGUGGAUUUUGUGAUCUUGUGCAUAGGGAAGUUCAGUGACCUUCCAAACAUACCAGAUUUUCCACCAGAAAAAGG
rnacentral:lncRNA from 1 species